rnacentral:rRNA from 1 species
AUGCCCCUUUCAUACCAUUCCAACUCAAAUCAAAGCUUGUGUAUGCACUUGAUAUUCGCAAUGAGACUUGAGAGAACUUCCGUAUGCACUGAAGUUUUCUCUAAUAUAGAUUUUUCAAAUAAUAUUGAGUGGACAUAUAGAAGAAAGCUUGUGUAUGCACUGAAGUCUCAAAACAUGUCACCACUUGUAGAUGUCUACGUGCUGCCACCUCCACUUUUAUCCCAGCUUUUUGCGCUCACAGAUGUGGCAUGUUAUAUCGGCCAAUGCUAUCAUGAUAGGAACCUAUAUGAACACAAGUUUUUGUAUAUACCCUUUUUGCAUCCGAGUUUUGUAGCGACAUCACAGAACCUUGUGGACAAGAUCUGA